UUCGGUCCCUAUCUGCCGUGGGCGCUGGAGAAUUGAGGGGGGCUGCUCCUAGUACGAGAGGACCGGAGUGGACGCAUCACUGGUGUUCGGGUUGUCAUGCCAAUGGCACUGCCCGGUAGCUAAAUGCGGAAGAGAUAAGUGCUGAAAGCAUCUAAGCACGAAACUUGCCCCGAGAUGAGUUCUCCCUGAGACUUUAAGUCUCCUGAAGGAACGUUGAAGACGACGACGUUGAUAGGCCGGGUGUGUAAGCGCAGCGAUGCGUUGAGCUAACCGGUACUAAUGAACCGUGAGGCUUAACCUUACAACGCCGAAG
rnacentral:rRNA from 1 species